rnacentral:misc_RNA from 1 species
UCCUCGUUUAAGCGAGGCAGUCUGUCCAGAGUGCUUCGAACUCUCGUUCAAGUGGCAACAGGACAUAAGGGUUGCGCUCGUUGCGGGACUUAACCCAACAUCUCACGACACGAGCUGACGACAGCCAUGCAGCACCUGUGUAUCCUGAUAUUGCUAUCUCGUCAGGCUUUCACCCUUCUACUAGAUACAUGUCAAGGCCAGGUAAGGUUCUUCGCGUUGCAUCGAAUUAAGCCACAUACUCCACCGCUUGUGCAGGCCCCCGUCAAUUUCUUUGAGUUUUAAUCUUGCGACCGUACUUCCCAGGCGGCAUAUUUAUCGCGUUAGCUUCGCCACAAAAGGGGUCGAUUCCUUUUACAGCAAAUAUGCACCGUUUACGGCUAGGACUAC